CGCGGACGCUCCGCCCGGCAGCUCCGGCUCCCGCGGUGGUGGCGGCGGCGGAGCCCUGAGAGCCGGCCUCCCUAUAUUACCAUGCAGCUCAUUAUCAUAGAGGCCGCGCGCGUUAACCCCCUCCCUGCCGGCCGCUCCCGCCCGGGCUGGGGCCGCGCCCGCCACUGGCACAGCGCGCCGCAGCCAGCCCCCUGCCCCCUCCCCCGCCCGCCCGGUCUUCCUCCUCCGCCAGCUGUCAACAAAGGAGAAUCAGGUUGGGCAUCGGGAGGCCGCUCCGCUGCCUCCCUGUGCGCGGCUCAGCCCGGACCCACCCGCCACCUUAAGUGGCAAAGGGGGCAACGCAAAUCCUGCUGGGGCCUGGGGAUUUGGGUGGAGGCCUGAAGAGCCCGGCCGGCUGAACCCCCGGUGCGGGGAGCUCAGGACGCCGGCAGAGUGGGAGAGGUCAGUGGGGACGUGGGCUCCCCCUCCCUGAGCAUCACCUGUCACCGCGCACAUCCUGCACAUCUCUCUCUUCGUCUUUAAUCUGAGGGCUGAUAGCAGACGCAUGGCCCCUGGGGACUCAUCAAGACUCUGCCAGUGCCUUGAAGUUCAUCCUCAUUUCCAUCAGGGGGAAUGGUCACAGCCCAGCACCGUUCUGCACACGUGAAUGUUGCUCUGGGAGGAGAAUAUUCUCUGGGAGGGUCAGCCAACUACAGCCCUAAACUUAUGUGAACAGGUCUCUGGAACCAUCUAAAGACUCCUGCGUGUCCCGGGUGAGAAGGCUGCAGGAUGCAGGAGGGUGUGUGUGUUUAACAGCGAGACUUGGCCCAGAGGAAAGAAGUGGCCAACACAUGCAGAUCUCCACCAGCUCAUGUCACCUCUGCCCUGCACAACAGCACAUGCAUGGCCGCGCCUGCCUUCCAAAAUAAUGGGAUAAUGGGUGCAACGUGCGUCACCCACCCCUUAGAGAGAGCACGGCAGUCGGUCUUUAUGGAAUCCACGGGGAGCAGGGCAAGCAGACACCGGUGUCUGCCUUCUCCUGGAUUGCAUCUGUACCCUACAAACCCCCAACAGAAUUGAAUUUACAUCUCCUCCUAAUUAGGGGAGAAAGGAAGACAAGAAUGAUAGUAGAAGAAUUUCUUCCUACCUCUGACUGCAAGCUCUUCAGGGACAGGACAUUAAGCUCUCCCUCUGUCUGCUCCCACCCUUCUCUCUCCUGACUGAUACCUGGAGUACCUAACACAGUGCCAGCCCCUCCCUGGGACCGGAGCCGGUGUGUGAUGAGAGUGAUGAAGCGGGGCUGGUUGGAAAAGCUAGACCGCGCCCGGACGCUUGUCUCCGGUGUGCUGGUCUGCUGUGAGGCAGUGCAGAGCAGUGGCUGGGGGGGUGGGUAGUCUGGGAUGCCUCAAGCCAGACGCGUGGGAGCUGGUCCAGGGCCCGUUGGGGGUGGAGGGAUUGGGCGUUGCCCGGAGGAGGCUGGUAGGGAGUAAAGUUCGUUGCCCACACUGCUUAAAUAAAUCAAAUGUCCUGGCACGCAGAUGCAAGCGCCAGUGCCUGCUUCAGUGCUGUAAGUUUAGAGCAGGGUAUGAACUACUAGGGUCUAAAUAGAAAAAGUCAGAAACGGCGUAAGUCUUGGCAGACAGGAAUCAACGGCGUCAUCACCAACAUCAUGAAACAGUUAAUAAUCACCAGGAAAAAAAAAAAGACUUAAAUGUUGUUUCCUAUAUUCUGAGUUUUGAAUUCCUAGAAAGUAAGAUCCACACAUUUCCCUCAUAGUCAGUUUAAGGUUAAGUUCAUUUUUAUUCCUUUUGUGAAAUACACUCUUGCGGGUUAUUCUGGGUGGUGUAUGAGAUGGAAAGGAAGAUCGAGAACAAAAGUAAUUCUGUUCCUGUCCUUCUCUUCUGACUCUCCUCCUCUUUCUCUCUGGGGUCACAGCACUGAUUUUUGUGUAUUUGUGGGGUUUUUUUUUCCUCGUAUGGCUUCUAUUCACUCAGAAUCAGUAUUUGAAUGGCAAGACUAUUAUUUCCAUAAUAAAACAGAGGUUGGACCCCCUCCGCCUUGGGUGACAGGCGACCUGGAUUCUAACCCUGCCUCUGCUCUUUCCUGGCCUCCCACAAGUCCUCUCCCUCCUUUUGGUCCUGGUUUUUGCAUCUGUAAGAAGCAGGAAUCAGGCUCCACGCUCCCCUCUCUCCCCCCGCACUGCCGCCCUGUCCUGUCAUCACUCCGACUCUCUCCUUGGAGAAUGGAGCGAGGACAUUGGACCCUAAGAAGCCUUCUUGUAAUAGCUAAGGAAGCCCAGUGCCUAAGACAUCACCGAGGGUGUAUGCUACAGGGACACAGUUCAGAAAAAGGAUCUUGCCUUUGGAUUGUCUCGAGGUGGAUGAUUUCUCUCUCUGCCUGCCUUGAUAAACUCUUCUGUUCACGAUGCUGGCUGUUAUGAAUCUGAGUCAUGGGUGGCUCCAGCCCCUCUGAUCCAUUCGGCUGAUAAUAUUUCCUGACGUUUCCAAGGCCAAGAGUAUGGGAUGAUCGGGUAUCGUAGAUUUACUUUACCUCCUCUCCUCUUCCCCCACCCACCUUGCUCUCCAGCCCCCUCUCCUCCUUGUGGGAUUCCUAUCUUGUGUCGUUCCGCAACAUCCUGGGAUGACAGCAAAUCCCAUCCCUGGCUACCACCCAGGCCUCCCAGAGAAGCUGGAGAGACCAAAGCCUUCUGUGGUCUCUUGGGGACAUCGCCCCCCCUGGUGGAAUGACGGGGAACUUCCCUGGCUUGGGAAAAGCCGGGCAGCCUGGCAGCCUUACCUCUGCUCCACAGUUUUCCGUGUGGCUAAUAAUUAUUACCCUGUGUUAAUCAUGACAGUGGAAGAAUUGCAGGCCAUUAUUUUGAAAUGAUAGGCUCCAGUCAAUGACUACUUAUGACAGCAAAGGGGAAACAUCAGCUCCGGGGAGCCCCCAUGUAAAUGGGGAGUUGAAUGAAAGAUCAGGAAUAAUGGAACAUGUAUUUAGUUCCAUUUUCUUCCCUAAAAGGGCCCUGUCAGAGUAAUUUCCCCUUCCGUGCAUUAUACCUCGCCAUUAUUUACAGUAUCUUCUUGGGAGAAUAAAGCAACACCGGCCCCCUCCUUCUGAUCUCCCCUUCCCUGCCUGGCCCUCCCCCUCUCAGCCCCACAUCAAUUGUGUCUCUUUCUGGAGUUUGGCAAACACAGCGACUUCUUCCUGCUGUGCUUUCAGUGGAGCUGAAAUGAAUGUGGCUCUGGUUAUUUUUUUUCCCCCUUAAUCAUUCUUUUUCUUUUUUUGCUGGAGAGCAUUUUCAUGAAGCACAAUCACAGAGGAACAGAAUGUCCUGAUGUUUGGGUGAACAGCAUACAUUGCUUUGCUUUUUCCUUCCCUUGAAUAAAAAUAACACCCCAUAACCAUAGCAUCAGAGGACUUACAGGCCGUCUUUCAAGGUUCUCCAUAACCUUGCCCUACCCUCUAUGCUCAGUCUUAUUUCUAAUAACCCCUGUCCACCCACCCAGGCAUACUGGUUCCCUCUGGGUUCCUUGAAAUUGCUAAGCUCGUUUUCUCCCCGCACUUCUGCCCAUGUUCUUCCAGCUGUCUAGAAUGUAUUGUUCCCCUUCCUAACUUCCCAGAGCCUGAACAAUCUUUAAGACCUUCUCAAGACCUUUUUCUAAAAGGUCUUUUAAAAUAUAUCUUUUUAAAUAUAUCUUUUUAAAUAUAUCUUUAAAUAUAUCUUUUCCAACCUAUGCUAAGGGCACUUUAUGCCCACAAAAGGUUAAUAAUUUGUAAACUUGUUUCUAUUCAUUGUGAGCUUGGCCUAGAGAAGUCCCUGGGUGCGUGUUUGCUGAAUUACUUUCACUAGUGGUUUUUGCCAUUUAUACCCAUUUCACAGAGGGUAAAUGUAAAGAUGUUCAGAAAGCUUAAGUCACUUGUAGAUCACAUGUCCAGUUACAUGGCAGAGAAGACACUGGAACCUGGUUGUUUUCAUUUCAAGCCCAGGGUCCUUUCCAUUUUGCUAUGCUACGUUCCUGUUGCAAUCUCCUCUAACCUCUCCUGUUACUCGCCAGUGUGCUUAACUUCAGAGCUUCAUAUUUUUCAUCAGAUUGCAAAGUCCUGGUGGGCAGUGGCCAGACUUUCUCUUGUACCUUACCUUGGAAGUGGAAGUUCCUGAUCAAUCUCCUGUAACCACUUCACCUCGACUUUUCUCCAGUCUGUCAAAACUGGCUAAAUAAACAUCGCGGAGCCAAACUUUGGAAGGCCUUGGUUCCGAUGCCGGAAUAUUCUGUGGACCUGGAUUGGCAAACACCUGUGAUCUGUGCUCCUCUGUCCAGCCCCGCUCCACUGAUCUGGGUCUCUCUUUCCUACAUGGGACAUGAUGACACAAGGAAUGUCAGGAGGCCGAACAACUCCUCCUUUGUGACAUUAGAGAUGCCUUCAGAUUCACUACUACUGGUUCUACCAGCAGGGACAGUCCUCUCUACCCUGUUGACUGAUGAGCUUAGAAGAGACCCUUUGACGGAAGAACAUGACAAAUGGCUUUGCAGUUUCCGUAGCCGCCUCAGCCCAGAACCUGUGUGACUCACCUCUGUGCUUUUGAGGAGCUUCAAAGUCAAACGAAUGCUUACUUCUCUUAAUGCAAUAAUAUUUAACAGUUACUGUUAAUAAUUAAUGUAAUAAUGUGUACAGCAAGUCACCAUUGGCAAAGUUUUCAAGUACAUUAGAAGCAGGUGGACAUAUACUAGAAAGAUGGUGGGGUUCAACUACAGUUGCUCAGAGCAUAGACUUCAGAGUGGGCUUUGUUCCCAGCUCUGCCACUGA